GAGGUACAGCUCCAGGAGUCGAGACCUAGCCUGGUGAAACCUUCUCAGUCAUUGUCCUUCACCUGCUCUGUCACUGGCUACUCCAUCACCAGUGGUUAUGACUGGAACUGGAUCCGGCAGUUUCCAGGAAACAAACUGUAAUGGAUGAGGUACAUACACAAGAGUGGUAGCACUAACUACAAUCCAUCUCUCAAAAGUCAAGUCUCCAUCACUCGAGACACUUCCAAGAACCAGUUCUACCUGCAGUUGAAUUCUGUGACUACUGAGGACACAGCCAUAUAUUACUGUGCAAAC